GACGAACGCUGGCGGCGUGCUUAACACAUGCAAGUCGAACGGAAAGGCCCUGCUUUUGUGGGGUGCUCGAGUGGCGAACGGGUGAGUAACACGUGAGUAACCUGCCCUUGACUUUGGGAUAACUUCAGGAAACUGGGGCUAAUACCGGAUAGGAGCUCCUGCUGCAUGGUGGGGGUUGGAAAGUUUCGGCGGUUGGGGAUGGACUCGCGGCUUAUCAGCUUGUUGGUGGGGUAGUGGCUUACCAAGGCUUUGACGGGUAGCCGGCCUGAGAGGGUGACCGGCCACAUUGGGACUGAGAUACGGCCCAGACUCCUACGGGAGGCAGCAGUGGGGAAUAUUGCACAAUGGGCGGAAGCCUGAUGCAGCAACGCCGCGUGCGGGAUGACGGCCUUCGGGUUGUAAACCGCUUUCGCCUGUGACGAAGCGUGAGUGACGGUAAUGGGUAAAGAAGCACCAGCUAACCACGUG
rnacentral:rRNA from 1 species